CUGGGACUACAGGCACGUAGCACUGCACCCAGCUCUCUUAGCCUUAUUUUGUUGUUGACUUUUUUCAUUGUCUGUGUUAAAUAGCUAAUUUCUGUUUUCAUGUUUCUGUGUUUUAUAAUAUAUCCAUUUAAAUCUAUUGAGUUGCUCUUCUAGCCUUUUAGGCAAAUAAAACAACUCAUAUUUUAGAAUUAAUGUGCAAACAAAUAAUGUGCUUUUGCCUUUUCAGAAUUUUGUAUGGGCGAAUGAAGAAUAAGACUGGGAGUAAAACUCAGGGGAAAUCUGCUUCAGGCACCCGCAUGGCCAUUGUCCUGCGGUUCCUGGCCGGGACCCAACCUGAGGAGAUCCAGAUAUUCUUAGACCUGCUGUUUGAACCUGUGAAGCAUUUCAAGAAUGGAGAGUGCCAUUCUGCAGUCAUUCAAGCAGUAGAAGACUUGGAUUUGUCUAAAGUUCUUCCUUUAGGUCGUCAGCACGGUAUCUUAAACAGCCUUGAGAUAGUAC
rnacentral:sRNA from 1 species